rnacentral:rRNA from 1 species
AGGGCACGCGGGGAAUGCCUUGGCGCCAGAUGCCGAAGAAAGACGCAGCCAGCUGCGAAAAGCCGCGGGGAGGAGCAAGCAUCCCGUGAUCCGCGGAUAUCUGAAUGGGGAAACCUGCAUGGAGCAGUCCAUGCGCCCUUGAAUAGGGCGGCGACCCGGUGAAGUGAAACAUCUCAGUAACCGGAGGAAAAGAAAUCGAAAGAGAUGCCCCAAGUAGUGGUGAGCGAAAGGGGUAGAGCCUAAACCUGAUGCAUGUCAAGCCUGCAGGCGUUGUGCAUAAGGGGUAGCGGGAUCCAUGAGCGGAGGUCUGCAGACCUUCGGAGGAGUCACAAAAUGUAUCCAUAGCUGAAUCGUGUUGGGAAAACGAGCCGCAGAGGGUGAAAGCCCCGUAAGCGAAAUGGAAGCAUCUCCUUUGAUGGACACCCAAGUAGUGCGGAGCACGUGCAAUUCCGUAUGAAUCAGGGCCGACCACGGUCUAAGGCUAAAUACAUCUGGCGACCGAUAGUGAAGCAGUACCGAGAGGGAAAGGUGAAAAGCACCCCUGGCGGGGAGUGAAAUAGACCUGAAACCGCGUGCUUACAAGCAGUCGGAGCAUUUUAGGAUGUGACGGCGUGCCUCUUGGAAAAUGAGCCGUCGAGUUAUGGUAUGUGGCGAGGAUAAGAACUACAAGGUUCGGAUCCGCAGGGAAACCGAGUCUGAACAGGGCGUCAGUCGCAUGCUAUAGACCCGAAGCCAUACGAUCUAUCCAUGUCCAGGUUGAAGACCGGGUAACACCGGUUGGAGGACCGAACCACAGCCUGUUGAAAAAGGCCUGGAUGAGGUGUGGAUAGGAGUGAAAAGCUAAUCGAGUAUGGUGAUAGCUGGUUCUCCCCGAAAUGCAUUGAGGUGCAGCCUCGUCAGAACGAUUUAUGGGGGGUAGAGCACUGAAUGAGUAAGGGGGCAGAUGUGCCUACCGAGCUCAAUCAAACUCCGAAUACCCAUAAAAUUGAGACGGGAGUGAGACUACGGGUGCGAAGAUUCGUGGUCGAAAGGGAAACAGCCCAGCCCGACAGCUAAGGUCCCAAAGCCUGUGCUAAGUGUUACAAGGAUGUGGGGAAGCAAAGACAGCCAGGAGGUUGGCUCAGAAGCAGCCACCCUUGAAAGAGUGCGUAACAGCUCACUGGUCGAGCGUCCCUGCGCCAAAAAUGUGGGGGGCUAAGCACAGCGCCGAAGCUUCGGAUUCAAUGGAUAAAUCCAUUGACUGGUAGGGGAGCGUUCCAUACGGGACGAAGCAGAACUGUAAGGUUUUGUGGACUGUAUGGAAGUGAGAAUGACGGCAUGAGUAGCGAAAAGUGUGCGAGAAACACACUCACCGAAAACCCAAGGAUUCCUGGGGAAGGCUCAUCCACCCAGGGUUAGGCGGGACCUAAGGCGAGGCCGAAAGGCGUAGUCGAUGGACAACAGGUAGACAAUCCUGUCCUUCGUACGAUCGUUUGACCGAUGGAGUGACGCAGAAAGCUAUGUGCGCCGGGUGAUGGAAGUCCCGGUCCAAGGAAGUAGGCUGGUGUGGGAGGCAAAUCCCCCGUACCGUUAAGGCCGAGAUCUGAUGGGGUAGUGAAUAAUCACGGGAAGGCACAAAUGCUAUGCUGCCGAGAAAAGCUUCUAGGGAGAGAGUAUGAACCCGUACUGAAAACCGACACAGGUGGGUUGGCUUAGAAGGCUAAGGUGAACGGGAUAACCCUUGUUAAGGAACUCUGCAAGUUGACUCCGUAACUUCGGGAGAAGGAGUGGCUGGAGAUGUUAAGACUAUACGUUGUAAGCAUCUUUGGUUCGCAGAAACCAGGCUCAGGCGACUGUUUAACUAAAACACAGGACUCUGCUUAAGGCGCAAGCCGAAGUAUAGGGUCUGACACCUGCCCGGUGCUGGAAGGUUAAAGGGAGAGGUUAGUCGCAAGGCGAAGCUUUGAACUGAAGCCCCAGUAAACGGCGGCCGUAACUAUAACGGUCCUAAGGUAGCGAAAUUCCUUGUCGGGUAAGUUCCGACCUGCACGAAAGGUGUAACGAUCUGAGCGCUGUCUCAACAGGGGGCCCGGUGAAAUUGUGGUACUGGUAAAGACGCCAGUUACCCGCAGUAGGACGGAAAGACCCCGUGGAGCUUUACUGUAACUUGAUAUUGGAUUUCGGUACACUCUGUAUAGGAUAGGUGGGAGGCUAUGAAGGCAGUGCGCCAGCAUUGUUGGAGCCGUCCUUGGAAUACCACCCUUGGUGUGCUGGGAUUCUAACCGCGUCUGCUGAAUCGCAGCGCGGGACAUUGUCAGGCGGGCAGUUUGACUGGGGCGGUCGCCUCCCAAAGAGUAACGGAGGCGCGC